GACGAACGCUGGCGGCGUGCUUAACACAUGCAAGUCGAACGGAAAGGCCUCUUUCGGGGGGUACUCGAGUGGCGAACGGGUGAGUAACACGUGAGUAACCUGCCCUUGACUUUGGGAUAACUUCAGGAAACUGGGGCUAAUACCGGAUAGGAGCUCCUGCUGCAUGGUGGGGGUUGGAAAGUUUCGGCGGUUGGGGAUGGACUCGCGGCUUAUCAGGUUGUUGGUGGGGUAGUGGCUUACCAAGGCUUUGACGGGUAGCCGGCCUGAGAGGGUGACCGGCCACAUUGGGACUGAGAUACGGCCCAGACUCCUACGGGAGGCAGCAGUGGGGAAUAUUGCACAAUGGGUGGAAGCCUGAUGCAGCAACGCCGUGUGCGGGAUGACGGCCUUCGGGUUGUAAACCGCUUUCGCUCAUGACGAAGCUUUGUGUGACGGUAGUGGGUAAAGAAGCACCGGCUAACUACGUG
rnacentral:rRNA from 1 species